GCACUGUUUCGGCUAGGGGGUCAUCCCGACUUACCAACCCGAUGCAAACUGCGAAUACCGGAGAAUGUUAUCACGGGAGACACACGGCGGGUGCUAACGUCCGUCGUGAAGAGGGAAACAACCCAGACCGCCAGCUAAGGUCCCAAAGUCAUGGUUAAGUGGGAAACGAUGUGGGAAGGCCCAGACAGCCAGGAUGUUGGCUUAGAAGCAGCCAUCAUUUAAAGAAAGCGUAAUAGCUCACUGGUCGAGUCGGCCUGCGCGGAAGAUGUAACGGGGCUAAACCAUGCACCGAAGCUGCGGCAGCGACACUCAUGUGUUGUUGGGUAGGGGAGCGU
rnacentral:rRNA from 1 species